UGUAGAUAGGAGUUAACUCUUUUUGCCCUAUCAAUAAGGCUAAAGAGAGGGGGAGUGGCACUACAUUGGGCAAUCAGCUCUAAAUGUUUGAGCAGGCAUAUGGCAAUUGCUGCCCAGUGCUUGUCUUUCACAGGGUGAGAGGUUCCUCCAGUCAGGCUGGAUGCUGCUCUGGAUGGAGUGGUGUUGUGCAUCUGGACAGAAGCAGCAGCAGAAGUGUUACUUACACUGAGUCUUGUCCCUGCCAGCCACAAACUGCCUGGCCUUCAGCAGCGGAUGUGUGUUUGGAGUAUGUCCCUGCUUUCCAGCAGCAAGUACUGCUUCUCUUCCUGCCUGUUCACCACCUUGUGAAGCUGCUGCUCCUGGGCUUAGGUGGACUUUAG
rnacentral:lncRNA from 1 species